UUCGAUGUCAAUGAGAAACCAGGUAUAUCUCUCUUGUUUAGGAUGAGACUGAAGAAUGCAUUUCUUCCCAAGUCAAGGAGAAACCAGAUUUGAGACCCAUGCGUACAGCAAAACUGGAAAAUACUGCAAGACAAAUAGUAAAAAGAUUUAG